rnacentral:rRNA from 1 species
UACGAAGUGGGCUAGCGUUGUUCGGAAUUACUGGGCGUAAAGCGUACGUAGGCGGAACGUUAAGUCAGGGGUGAAAUCCCGAGGCUCAACCUCGGAACUGCCUUUGAUACUGGCGCUCUUGAGUCCGGGAGAGGUGAGUGGAACUCCUAGUGUAGAGGUGAAAUUCGUAGAUAUUAGGAAGAACACCAGUGGCGAAGGCGGCUCACUGGCCCGGAACUGACGCUGAGGUACGAAAGCGUGGGGAGCGAACAGG